AUUGAACGCUGGCGGCAGGCCUAACACAUGCAAGUCGAGCGAGCGGCGGACGGGUGAGUAAUGUAUGGGGACUGCCCGAUAGAGGGGGAUAACUACUGGAAACGGUGGCUAAUACCGCAUACUAUCGGAUAACCCAUAUGGGAUUAGCUAGUAGGUGGGGUAAAGGCUCACCUAGGCGACGAUCUCUAGCUGGUCUGAGAGGAUGAUGGGCAAAACGGGGACGGAGAAACGGCCCAGACUCCAAGGGGGGCAGAAGUGGGGAAUAUGGCACAAUGGGGGAAAGCCGGAUGCAGCCAUGCCGGGUGUAGGAAGAAGGCCUUAGGGUGGUAAAGUACUUUCAGCGGGGAGGCGUUACCCGCAGAAGAAGCACCGGCUAACUCCGUGCCAGCAGCCGCGGUAUAC
rnacentral:rRNA from 1 species